UGCAAAGGCGGCGUGUGGUACCGGCACUCGGUGGCUUCAGACUCGCUUUCAUCAGACAUCAGCCCCCUGCGGUGUGAGUGAGGACAGGAGACGCUGACGCAAAUGUCUUCCAGCAGAUGGGUGUUUGCCUCCAUCUUCAGGGUUCUCUGACGGAGGCUGCUGGAGCUGCCGUGGUGGAUAGAGCCAGCUCCUGCAAAAGGGUCCAGCCCUCCUGGAUGCGUCGAUGUGAGUUUUUUUUUUAAAAGGCUGAUGGACUCAAAGAGACUUGCUUAUCUUUUGACAUCUCCAGCUUGUCCCUAGUUUGGGCGUUAAGGCCAUGUGACAGAGCCAGUGCUGUGCUCCAAGGGGAAUUUGCUGAGAAGAUGCUGGUGACGGUGGACGGAGAGUGGAAGUCGGUAUCACUGAUUGGGGCCCUCUGGAGGGGCCGACAGGGAAGUGGGAUCUCAGGCCCUUUCUCUGCACAGCAGGGUAACGGGUGAGUCGGCCCUCGUGGCAGGGCGGUCCCGAGGGGGUGGAGCGGUGCUGGCUCACGCUCGUGGGCACCAGCGUCCUGGGCUGCUGUGGCCUAGUGUAGGCCCCCCACAGUGUCACUCACACUGAUUGGUUGUGACAGGAGGGAGCUCAGCCCCAGAAAGUGGUAAUGAGUGCAGUCAGCGGGCAAUUUGCAUCGAUUUCAGUGACUGGGGAGGCGAGCUGUAAGGUCUGAAGCCAGCCACGUGGGACGGGAAGGCAGUCGCCGUAUGGGGGGCUAAUGUGUGGCUGUGGGUGGGGGGCGGCGAGGCGGACAGGGGCAGCAGGCAGGGUGGCCACGGUGGUUCAGGGGCCAUGGUCCCAACCUCCCCAGCCCUGGCCCCUGCCCUGGUCACCUGGUAGUGGGCCCAGCAGGCCUCCCAGAUCCGCAGCGCUUCGGCCUCGGGGAACUCCCGCUUGAAGCACAGAAGGAGCCAGCGGUGGCAGAAGAGCAUCUGCAGGCCGUCCUCGCCCAGCGAGACCAGGUGCUGGUAGAAGCGCACGUGCGUCAGCCGCAGCAGCUCGCGCAGGUACAGCUGGGGGUGAGGCCGUCACGCGUUAGUUAGCUCCGGUCCCAUGCGGCCUGCUGCCCAGGAAGCCCACUCCCACUGGGGCCCUUCCCUGGGCCACCCCAGCCUGGAAAAGCACACCCAGGGGCCUCUACCUGCUGCAUGUGCCUGCCCCCCCAACGCUCCAUUCCGCCGCUGGAAUCGGCUCACACCUGCCUCUGCCAGUUCCUCCCAGAUCUGACUGUUCCGGAGGCUGUGGUGUGGUCCAGGGUGAGGCAGAGUGUUGUGCCCGGGCGUGGCAGGACGCUGGCAGCCGCUCCAUGGCCAGGAAGGCUCCCCACCCUCAGUGCACACUUGGGGGCUGUUUCCCACGUCCACUCCUCCUGGUGAGGUGAGUGGAUCAUCCAGGGAGCCCCCCCACCCCUCUUCGGCUACGCUCACCCAGAUCUAUCAUCUUCCAGAGCUGUUUUAGGGCAGGAAGGGGACGUAUCUGAGCCCCAGGAUGCUCGAUUCCUGCCAUUAAGGUCAUCUCCCAAUGAUGUGGGACAAGAUCGGGGCUAUUUCUGGCAGCACUCGGGCCCAGGCCGCUGACUUCAUCAAUGCCGCUGGAAAAUCAAUCUCCAGCAUUCAGUGAGUCACCCAGCCAUGCGCUGCCAUGAGCCGUCAGAGGCGAAUGGCGUUGGACACUGUAACUGCCUCCCCAAGCAAUGUGGACACCCGACGUCACACACACCCGUUGAUGCAGAGUGAGCAGGCUUGGCUGGGUUCAGCCCCCCGGCCCAGGUGGAGUUAGAUCACAGCUGGGGGGAUCCUGGGGCAGAGCUCGGGGCCACAUGCCCCCUUCCCACACAGGUGGCCCAUUGUUCCCACGGGAGACUGCGCUGAAGCUGUGCGGCCAGCCCUCCGCCCUGUGGCCUACGGCCAGGUCAAGCCCACUCGUGUGGCUGACCCCCUUGCAGAUGCUCCACUCCCGCCCCCUGUGCAGGUGCCUGCACCUCCCUGCUUGGGCUCCUUUGCCUUCAAAUCCUCUCUGUUGGCAUCAGCUCUCCCAGCCUGUCAUCAGCGACCCACUAACAGUCAGUCUAUAGCAGCGGUCCCCAACCUUUUUGGCACUAGGGACCCGUUUCCUGGAAGACAAUUUUUCCACGGACAAGGUAGUGCGAAUGGUUUCAGGUUGAAACUGUUCCCCCUCACAUCAUCAGGCAUUAGAUUCUCAUAAGCAGUACACAACCUAGACCCCUCACAUGCUCAGUUCACAGUAGGGUUCUCGCGUUCGAGCUUCUGUGAGAAUCUAAUGCAGCCGCUGAUCUGACGGCAGGUGGAGCUCAGGCGGGAAUGCUCGCUGGCCCGUCCACCGCUCACCUCCUGCGGUGCGGCCAGUUCCUAACAGGCCAUGGACCAGUACCAGUCCUGGGCCUGGGAGUGGGGAUCCCAUUCUAUGAGACACACUCCGUGGCCUGGGGCUGGGGAACCCCGUUCUACAAGUCACACUCUGUGUCCUGGGGUGGGGACCCCAUUCUACAAGUCACACUCUGUGUCCUGGGGUGGGGACCCCAUUCUGAGACACGCUCUGUGUCCUGGGGGUGGGGACCCCCGUUCUAUGAGACACACUCUGUGGCCCUGGCCUUCAAGGCCCUCCAUCAGCUCCACCCUCACUACUUGUGACGGGUCUGGUCCAGGAAGACCAGGUCACUCAGUCCCACCACUGGGACUGCUCUGCUCAGCCCAGCCUUAGCGACACUCAGGGCCAGACCCCACACACCCUGGAGCUGUCCCCGGUGCAGGAGCCCUCUUGUCCUUAUCACGGGCACCUCCCACAGUGCUCCCCGACACCCAGCGUCCUCUGCUCACAAUGCCAGCUUCCUGGCCCAGCCAGGAGGGUGAAUGUCUGGUGACUGCACCCGGCAGGCACUUGGUUGACAUGGGUGAUGUGUGCUGAGAACAGUGAGCAGGUGCCCUGGCUCAGCCCUGGUUCGGUCCCACACGCUGGCCCUCCGGCGCUGCCUUACCCAGCUGGGCUCAGCCCCACCACCGACAUUCAGUGCUUCCUGGUCUACAUAGGGCUGGUCCUUUUGAGGAGGCCUUGACGGGAGAGGUGUCAGCAGGGCACCCCAGGGGAGGGGUGGGGUGUGAGGACUGCCCCAGAGACCUCAGGGGGUUUCAGGAGCCCCUCCUCUUCCUGUCUGCACUCAGAAGCCCUGGCUGUGUUGACUCCUGCAGGGAGCAGCUUAGACACACCUGAGGACCCAUUUUCUAAGGCUCAGAGGGGGCUGGGUGUGAUGGUGCCACGUCUUCCUUGCCAGCCAGGGAGCUUGGGCCAGGUUGUCACGUGCAGGGGUGGAAGGCCACCAGAGCGGCCCACACAACGCGGCCUCUGGACCUGCAGGGAGUCAGAGGGCCAUCCCCGGAGGCCGAGAUAGGCUAAGCCGCCCAUAUCCCACGGGCAAGUCCUAUCCUGGCGUUCCCACUGCCCACUGACCUACAGCAGCCAAGCCACGCAUCACCACGGCAACCCCGGCUACAACGGGAGAGGCAACACGGGCCCUCACAUGCCCUUGGACGCACCCAUCCCCCUGAGCCUCACCAGUUGUUUCUCCAUGUCCUCGUCCCGGGGUGAGCUGACGAAGAUCGUGUUCUGCAUCAAACCCACAAAGCACCAGAAGGUGUCUGACUCAUCCAGGACCUCGGCCAAGAUGGGCGCCACCAGCCGCAGCGCCUCCCGCUCCUCCGACGUGGAC
rnacentral:lncRNA from 1 species